UACAGAGGGUGCAAGCGUUAAUCGGAAUUACUGGGCGUAAAGCGUGCGCAGGCGGUUUUGUAAGUCUGACGUGAAAUCCCCGGGCUUAACCUGGGAAUUGCGUUGGAGACUGCAAGGCUGGAGUCUGGCAGAGGGGGGUAGAAUUCCACGUGUAGCAGUGAAAUGCGUAGAGAUGUGGAGGAACACCGAUGGCGAAGGCAGCCCCCUGGGUCAAGACUGACGCUCAUGCACGAAAGCGUGGGGAGCAAACAGG
rnacentral:rRNA from 1 species